GACGAACGCUGGCGGCGUGCUUAACACAUGCAAGUCGAACGGAAAGGCCCUUCGGGGUACACGAGUGGCGAACGGGUGAGUAACACGUGGGUGAUCUGCCCUGCACUUCGGGAUAAGCCUGGGAAACUGGGUCUAAUACCGGAUAGGACUCCUGGCUUCAUGGUUGGGGGUGGAAAGCUUUUGCGGUGUGGGAUGGGACCGCGGCCUAUCAGCUUGUUGGUGGGGUAAUGGCCUACCAAGGCGACGACGGGUAGCCGGCCUGAGAGGGUGACCGGUCACACUGGGACUGAGAUACGGCCCAGACUCCUACGGGAGGCAGCAGUGGGGAAUAUUGCACAAUGGGCGCAAGCCUGAUGCAGCGACGCCGCGUGAGGGAUGACGGCCUUCGGGUUGUAAACCUCUUUCAGCUAUGACGAAGCGCAAGUGACGGUAGUAACAGAAGAAGGACCGGCCAACUACGUGCCAGCAGCCGCAGUAAAAC
rnacentral:rRNA from 1 species